UUGAAAACCAAAAACACAUUUGCUGAACUACUGUAGAGUAAACUGCUGAAUGUGUAAAGAUGCUAGACACUAUUGUUGUGAUUUUGCAGUAAAAACACGAUUUAUUAUGUAUAGAUAACGGGAUAAACACACCUUAAUUCUCCAGAGUGGAUUUACAUAUUCUAAACCAUAUACAUCUUAAAGAUGCUUACUAAAUGUUUAUUUAACAUCUAACACGAACAUCUUCUUCAAAUAUUAUGAUUUAUGAGUGCUGGAUUAUGUAUUAUGAGUGAUGUGUGUGUGCUAUUAUUCACUGUUGUCAACACUGUUUACAUUACAUGAAUGAAAAUAAUGUAAAUAAACAAAUCUACAGUAACUACACAUAAGUUUAAUCUAUUUUAUUUGUCCAUUAGUAUUGUUAAUAAAUUAAGGAACAUUUGUAUUGGAUAAGAAGUGAGUUAACACAUCAUCAACAUGUGAAUGUAGAUUUGAGCACAUAAAUCUCAGAGGAAACGUGAAUCUUGUCUGAUGUCUGGGGAAUGAUGCCAUCAAAGGCUUUGAGUGUGGAUACUACAGAAAUGAAUACAAAGUCUAUUUAAAUCUAAAGUCUAGUUUAUUUUAAUUAUUGGAAUUUAAACAGACUUAUUACAGCACUUUUCUGAUUCUUGAUGUCUGUGCAUUUGCUUCAGAGCUUUGGUGGAGCAGGACCUGCAAGAAAAGCUGACGACAGUAUUUGUUAGAAAAAAAAGGAAAACCUGAAACAAAAUAAAAAUAUAUAUAAAGUAACAAAAUAUAAAGAUGUGAAUGUCCUCAGACUGGUGAGAGCACUGAGGAUGGAGAGCCACAGCAGAUCCUGGGAAUGGUUCAGUGUCAUGGAUGAGACCCUCCAUCACUCCUCCUUCCAAGUGACUUGAUCAAGGACACACUGGAGGAGACGCUGCAGAGAUCGAACCAGCAACCUUCUGCUGACCAGCUCAGUGGUUUAGACCACCACACCACAAAUGUAAUAAAGCUACAACAGAAAUUAGCAUGUAAUUGUAAAAAUAUGAGAUGAAGUAUGGCAAGAAACAGAAUGCUGACAUGAAUUAAUUGUAAAAUGUUUUAAUCUGCUGAUGGAGAGCACACGAAUGUUUGCAGCAGCCAGAUUGUCCCGCACAUCUUCUCCCACUCCUGCUCCAAGGUUGAGGGGUUCAGGGGUCCAUCAUCAUAAUCUUCCUCAUCCUCUGGAUCAACAAUGUCUCCAUUGAGAAGAGCAGCAGUGAGGGACAUGAUGGAUGAAGGUGUUCAUCAGCUGCUUCAUCAGAAUAAAGCUGCAGAAUCGGCACAGCUGUGUUGAGAUGACAACAGGACUGUAAAUACCUGAUUGUUAGAUCAAUACAUUUGAAUAAAGCUUUGUUUUGUGUGUU